rnacentral:rRNA from 1 species
CAGCAGCCACGGUAACACGAAGGGGGCUAGCGUUGUUCGGAAUUACUGGGCGUAAAGGGCGCGUAGGCGGCCAUUCAAGUUAGAUGUGAAAGCCCUGGGCUCAACCUAGGAAUUGCAUUUGAUACUGUUUGGCUUGAGUUCGGGAGAGGUGAGUGGAAUUCCCAGUGUAGAGGUGAAAUUCGUAGAUAUUGGGAAGAACACCAGUGGCGAAGGCGGCUCACUGGACCGACACUGACGCUGAGGCUCGAAAGCGUGGGGAGCAAACAGGAUUAGAUACCCGAGUAGUCCCUGUCUCUUAUAC